UUACGGCCAUAUCACGUUGAAAUACCGGUUUCCAUACGAUCACCGAAGUUAAGCAAUGUCGAGCUUGAUUAGUACCUAGAUGGGUGACUGCUUGGGAAUACCAGGUGCUGUAA
rnacentral:rRNA from 1 species